AAGGACGGCCAUACCACCCUGAACAAGCCCGAUCUUGUCUGAUCUCGGAUGCUAAGCAGGGUCGGGCCUGGUUAGUGCUUGGAUGGGAGACCGACUGGUAUGGAAUACCAGGUGCUGUAAUGG
rnacentral:rRNA from 1 species